rnacentral:tRNA from 1 species
GUGGACCUAGUUUAACUAAAAUAUUAGAUUGUGAUUCUAAAGACAGGAGCUAAAACCUCCUUGCCCACG